rnacentral:tRNA from 1 species
GCCUCUGUAGCUCAGUUGGUUAGAGCGCUGCACCGGAUCAUCGCAGGGCCGUAGGUUCAAUUCCUACCAGAGGAC